GAUGAACGCUGGCGGCGUGCCUAAUACAUGCAAGUCGAGCGAACAGACGAGGAGCUUGCUCCUCUGACGUUAGCGGCGGACGGGUGAGUAACACGUGGAUAACCUACCUAUAAGACUGGGAUAACUUCGGGAAACCGGAGCUAAUACCGGAUAAUAUAUUGAACCGCAUGGUUCAAUAGUGAAAGACGGUUUUGCUGUCACUUAUAGAUGGAUCCGCGCCGCAUUAGCUAGUUGGUAAGGUAACGGCUUACCAAGGCAACGAUGCGUAGCCGACCUGAGAGGGUGAUCGGCCACACUGGAACUGAGACACGGUCCAGACUCCUACGGGAGGCAGCAGUAGGGAAUCUUCCGCAAUGGGCGAAAGCUUGACGGAGCAACGCCGCGUGAGUGAUGAAGGUCUUCGGAUCGUAAAACUCUGUUAUUAGGGAAGAACAAAUGUGUAAGUAACUAGGCACGGCUUGACGGUACCUAAUCAGAAAGCCACGGCUAACUACGUG
rnacentral:rRNA from 1 species